CUUUGCGUAGGAUUUCUGCAUCCCUUCCAGCAUCGAAGUUUGGAGCAGCUUGAAUUGUACCCUGGGUACACUGAACCACUGCAGCAGGCUGAAAAUAAGAGUCACAGUUCUCCAUUUCUUCCUCUAACACAGAAUCAGGACAUUACUCUGAGGGUAGAUGGAAACUCCUGAUGCAGAACAAAAUUGAAGCCUUUGGAAAUCAGCUGUAAAAACAUUAAAACUACAGAAGCCACAUAAGAUUCCUUAUAGAAAAGAAAACAGCACAUACCGGACCAGUCAUUGGGGAUGGUACUUGUCCACCAGGAAAUCCUAGUGAAAAUAAAGAACAAGUUCUCAUCAGAUACGUGCAGUUUGAAAAAGGGUGAGCACCUAAACCACUACAUCAUGACCAUUAUUCAGGGACAGCCAUCCCCUUUGGAUGUAGCACCUACAGAAAUGGUUCUCAUCAGCUCUUCAGUGGCCUGG